rnacentral:rRNA from 1 species
UGGGGAAUUUUGGACAAUGGGCGCAAGCCUGAUCCAGCAAUGCCGCGUGCAGGAUGAAGGCCUUCGGGUUGUAAACUGCUUUUGUACGGAGCGAAAGGUCUGCCCUAAUACGGUGGGCUCAUGACGGUACCGUAAGAAUAAGCACCGGCUAACUACGUGCCAGCAGCCGCGGUAAUACGUAGGGUGCGAGCGUUCAUCGGAAUUACUGGGCGUAAAGCGUGCGCAGGCGGUUAUAUAAGACAGAUGUGAAAUCCCCGGGCUCAACCUGGGAACUGCCUUUGUGACUGCAUAGCUAGAGUACGGUAGAGGGGGAUGGAAUUCCGCGUGUAGCAGUGAAAUGCGUAGAUAUGCGGAGGAACACCGAUGGCGAAGGCAAUCCCCUGGACCUGUACUGACGCUCAUGCACGAAAGCGUGGGGAGCAAACA